UAAGAACGUCCAAACAAUGAC
ensembl:piRNA 21ur-3591 ncRNA